GGGACACGUGGUAUCCUGUCUGAAUAUGGGGGGACCAUCCUCCAAGGCUAAAUACUCCUGACUGACCGAUAGUGAACCAGUACCGUGAGGGAAAGGCGAAAAGAACCCCGGCGAGGGGAGUGAAAAAGAACCUGAAACCGUGUACGUACAAGCAGUGGGAGCACGCUUAGGCGUGUGACUGCGUACCUUUUGUAUAAUGGGUCAGCGACUUAUAUUCUGUAGCAAGGUUAACCGAAUAGGGGAGCCGAAGGGAAACCGAGUCUUAACUGGGCGUUAAGUUGCAGGGUAUAGACCCGAAACCCGGUGAUCUAGCCAUGGGCAGGUUGAAGGUUGGGUAACACUAACUGGAGGACCGAACCGACUAAUGUUGAAAAAUUAGCGGAUGACUUGUGGCUGGGGGUGAAAGGCCAAUCAAACCGGGAGAUAGCUGGUUCUCCCCGAAAGCUAUUUAGGUAGCGCCUCGUGAAUUCAUCUCCGGGGGUAGAGCACUGUUUCGGCAAGGGGGUCAUCCCGACUUACCAACCCGAUGCAAACUGCGAAUACCGGAGAAUGUUAUCACGGGAGACACACGGCGGGUGCUAACGUCCGUCGUGAAGAGGGAAACAACCCAGACCGCCAGCUAAGGUCCCAAAGUCAUGGUUAAGUGGGAAACGAUGUGGGAAGGCCCAGACAGCCAGGAUGUUGGCUUAGAAGCAGCCAUCAUUUAAAGAAAGCGUAAUAGCUCACUGGUCGAGUCGGCCUGCGCGGAAGAUGUAACGGGGCUAAACCA
rnacentral:rRNA from 2 species